AGCUCCAAUAGCGUAUAUUUUAGUUGUUGCAGUUAAAAAGCUCGUAGUAGAAUUUCUGGUGGGGGAAUGCAGUUCAAGCUAUGCUUGAUACUCGCACUCUCCGGCCAUCUUUGAGUGGAGCCUGUCUGGCAUUAAGUUGUCGGGCUGGGGUAGCUCAUCGUUUACUGUGAAAAAAUUAGAGUGUUCAAAGCAGACUUAUGUCGUUGAAUAUAUUAGCAUGGGAUAAUAAGAUAAGACUUCGGUACUAUUUUGUUGGUUAGGUGCCGUUGUAAUGAUGAACAGGGACAGUUGUGGGUAUUCGUAUUCACUUGUAAGAGGUGAAAUUCUUAGAUUAAGGGAAGACGAACUACUGCGAAAGCAUUUACCAAGGAUGUUUUCA
rnacentral:rRNA from 1 species